rnacentral:rRNA from 1 species
GAUGGACGCUGGCGGCGUGCUUAACACAUGCAAGUCGAACGGAAAGGCCCAAGCUUGCUUGGGUACUCGAGUGGCGAACGGGUGAGUAACACGUGGGUGAUCUGCCCUGCACUUCGGGAUAAGCCUGGGAAACUGGGUCUAAUACCGGAUAGGACCACUUCUUGGAUGUUGUGGUGGAAAGUUUUUUCGGUGUGGGAUGAGCUCGCGGCCUAUCAGCUUGUUGGUGGGGUAAUGGCCUACCAAGGCGUCGACGGGUAGCCGGCCUGAGAGGGUGUACGGCCACAUUGGGACUGAGAUACGGCCCAGACUCCUACGGGAGGCAGCAGUGGGGAAUAUUGCACAAUGGGCGCAAGCCUGAUGCAGCGACGCCGCGUGGGGGAUGACGGCCUUCGGGUUGUAAACUCCUUUCGCUAGGGACGAAGCGUCUUGUGACGGUACCUGGAGAAGAAGCACCGGCUAACUACGUG